rnacentral:lncRNA from 1 species
AUGUGUAAGGCGUGUGCAGUCACAAGGAUCUCGCACACGUGUGAGAAGUACCUGGGAGCCGCACAGGCCCUCAUGCCAUCUGGUGUGUGGGGACCAGCACCAAGCACCUGCACACAUAGCGGUGAGCAUGCCAGUUCAGCACGAGACAGACACGGGAUAAACACCCUUGAAGCCUGCUGCCCCGAGUCCCUCAGACGCCGCACCAGGGAUCUGCAUCUCUGGUGUGCGUCUGGCUCGCCUCAGCGCACCAAUGGCCUCGCAGUCGACGCAACUUGUUUGUUGAGUGACGUCUCUGUGCAUUGUCCAUUUGGCUGCUCUAACAACCACACAGGGGCUUCUCAACAGCAGGCGUCUGUGCUCUCAGUUCUGGGGCCUGGAGGCCAGGCCCGGGCAUGGCUGGCUAAGGGCCACGUGAGCCCACGUACUGGGUCCCGGUUGGCAUUGUUAUACUGCGUCCUCACUUCAUACCACAACCUCACGUCACACCAUGGCCUCACAUCUCACUGCAUCUCCAUACUGCACCGCGUCCACACGUCUGUGUCCUGUCACACCCCAUCCACACGUCUGUGUCCUCCUGUCACACCCCGUCCACACGUCUGUGUCCUCCUGUCACACCCCGUCCACACGUCUGUGUCCUGUCACACCCCAUCCACACGUCUGUGUCCUCCUGUCACACCACGUCUGUGACACUGAGAGCCGGUCAGAGAAGCUGUGCUCACGGUCAGGUAUGUGUGGGACUGGGAUCCCAGUGAAGGUGGUGGGGUGGGCCCGGGGCUUCCCGAGAUAAGUGGGGCAAGACAUGUGUCCUUCCCGCAGGAAUAGGACACAAUCAGCUGUGGGCUUGGUGCCAUCAGCUCCGUCUAGGACGCGAGGGCCGAGUUCUUGUGGGAGAGGAGUAUUGUGAGGAAGGGACUGGAGCAGCGGACGGCACGGCUGUUGCUCCUCACUUGCUCUGGCCUGAAUGUCGGUGUCCACCCCUGCUCUCCUCUGUCUGCUGAAAUCUUAACCCCGGGGUGUGGAAAAGGGAGGCGGGGCCCCUCGGGCGAUGAGGUCUGUGGGGUGAGCACCCAACAGGAAGGACCCAGAGACCCCUGCACUUCUCACCCCAUGAGGACACGGCAUGACGGGAAGACACAGUUCAGAGGAUGGGGCGAUUCGUGAAUACGGUGUGACAGGAGGAUGCAGACGUGUGGACAUGGUGUGGCAGGAGGACACAGACCUGUGGACACGGUGUGACAGGACACAGACGUGUGGACGGGGUGUGACAGGAGGACACAGACGUGGGAUGGGGUGUGACAGG